UACGAAGGGUGCAAGCGUUACUCGGAAUUACUGGGCGUAAAGCGUGCGUAGGUGGUGCGUUAAGUCUGUCGUGAAAGCCCCGGGCUCAACCUGGGAAUGGCGAUGGAUACUGGCGCGCUAGAGUGCGGUAGAGGAGAGUGGAAUUCCCGGUGUAGCAGUGAAAUGCGUAGAGAUCGGGAGGAACAUCAGUUGCGAAGGCGGCUCUCUGGACCAGCACUGACACUGAGGCACGAAAGCGUGGGGGAGCAAACAGG
rnacentral:rRNA from 1 species